GAUGAACGCUGGCGGCGUGCCUAAUACAUGCAAGUCGAGCGAACAGACGAGGAGCUUGCUCCUCUGACGUUAGCGGCGGAUGGGUGAGUAACACGUGGAUAACCUACCUAUAAGACUGGGAUAACUUCGGGAAACCGGAGCUAAUACCGGAUAAUAUAUUGAACCGCAUGGUUCAAUAGUGAAAGACGGUUUUGCUGUCACCUAUAGAUGGAUCCGCGCCGCAUUAGCUAGUUGGUAAGGUAACGGCUUACCAAGGCAACGAUGCGUAGCCGACCUGAGAGGGUGAUCGGCCACACUGGAACUGAGACACGGUCCAGACUCCUACGGGAGGCAGCAGUAGGGAAUCUUCCGCAAUGGGCGAAAGCCUGACGGAGCAACGCCGCGUGAGUGAUGAAGGUCUUCGGAUCGUAAAACUCUGUUAUUAGGGAAGAACAAAUGUGUAAGUAACUAUGCACGUCUUGACUGUACCUAAACAGAAAGCCACGGCUAACUACGUG
rnacentral:rRNA from 1 species